rnacentral:lncRNA from 1 species
AUGGAUCAUUCCUCAAGCUGUAAUAGACCCUUUGGUGAAGCUCUUCAAUCAAACCUGAGAAUUCAAGGAGAAUGGAAAAGGGAAAAUGUGAGUACAGAGAAAGUAGCACUGAUUUCCAUCACAAAAAAGAGAUUCUACAGAGCUCUGGAGGAAAGUCACACCACAGCACAGGCAGAUCCUGGGAAAUGCACUGAAUCUGUGGACUGCCUUGGUACUGUUGUAGGCCAAUGUGUCUUGCACCUCUGUGCUGGAAUUCUGUGGGACUCCUCUCCAAACCAAAGUUCCUCAAAAAAGUGUUGUUAA